rnacentral:rRNA from 1 species
AGUGCAUGUGGUGGAUGCCUUGGCGAUCACAGGCGAUGAAGGACGUGUAAGCCUGCGAAAAGCGUGGGGGAGCUGGCAAUAGAGCAUUGAUCCCACGAUGUCCGAAUGGGGAAACCCGGCCCGCAAGGGUCAUCUCACACUGAAUACAUAGGUGUGUAGAGGCGAACCGAGCGAACUGAAACAUCUAAGUAGCUCGAGGAAAAGAAAUCAACCGAGAUUCCGUAAGUAGUGGCGAGCGAACACGGAAGAGCCUGCACGACUAAACCAUCAGCUUAGCAAAACGGUCUGGAAAGUCCGACGAUACAGGGUGAUAGUCCCGUAUGCGAAAAGCCGGUGGCGGGGUCUGAGCGUGCGACAAGUAGGGCGGGGACACGAGAAAUCCUGUCUGAAGAUGGGGGGACCAGUCCUCCAAGGCUAAAUACUCGUGAUCGACCGAUAGUGAACCAGUACCGUGAGGGAAAGGCGAAAAGAACCCGGGAGGGGAGUGAAUAGAUCCUGAAACCGCAUGCAUACAACAAGUGGG